AAAGUCUGGACAAGUUUUGUUUGCUGUUAGGGGCUCACUCCAUGGCCGGCACAACUUUGUGUAUCCUGCCUUUGGUCUCGAACUCCCAGAUAGGCCGUCUGAUUUGCUUCUGUGUGUGUCUUUUUACCUCAGCGUUGAUCCUCCACUGUGUGCCUCUCUCCGUUGAUUUGGUCGGUUUGAGAAACUUGAACACAGCGGUGGGAAUGUUGAUGUUUGGCAUUGGAUCGGGAUUUAUGGUUGGCCCACCACUGGCAGCCUGGAUUCGACAGAUUUCUGGCGACUACGAAUAUUCCAUUUAUUCAGCGGGUGGAUCGUUUAUCCUUGCGUCUUUCUGUGGUAUAAUGAUGAUGAAGACAAAGAAAACAGAAUAUUUGCCUAAAAAUAGACUUUCUGCAACCAGAG